rnacentral:rRNA from 1 species
GACGAACGCUGGCGGCGUGCUUGACACAUGCAAGUCGAACGGAAAGGCCUGCUUUCCCUUGUGGAUUGCGGGUACUCGAGUGGCGAACGGGUGAGUAACACGUGAGUGAUCUGCCCCCAACUUGGGUAUAAGCCUGGGAAACUGGGUCUAAUUCCCGAUAGGACUGCAGGGUGGUGCCUGUGGUGGAAAACGAUUUUCUAGUGGUUGGGGAUGAGCUCGCGGCCUAUCAGCUUGUUGGUGGGGUAAUGGCCUACCAAGGCGGCGACGGGUAGCCGGCCUGGGAGGGGGGACGGCCACAUUGGGACUGAGAUACGGCCCAGACGCCUACGGGAGGCAGCAGUGGGGAAUAUUGCACAAUGGGCGGAAGCCUGAUGCAGCGACGCCGCGUGGGGGAUGACGGCCUUCGGGUUGUAAACUCCUUUCGACCGCGAGGAAGCCACCUGGUUGGAAGGGUGGUGACGGUAGUGGUAGAAGAAGCACCGGCUAACUACGUG